AGGCGGCGGCCAUGUUACGGUAGUUUGUUGUUUUCUCCCCGCGGAGGAGCAGGGCCAGCGACCGGACCCGCCUCGCUCGCCGCGUCCCCGUUCCGGCCCGCCGGCCCCGGCCCCGGCCCCGGCCCCGGCCCCCAGCUGGCGCGCGGGGCGAGGCGGAAGCGGGCGUCGCAGCAGCAUGGCGGCCGCGCUGGGAGCAGGCGGAGGAGCCGGCGCCGCAGAUGAUGACUUUGACCAAUUUGAUAAGCCGGGUGCAGAGCGGUCCUGGAGGAGAAGGGCUGCAGAUGAGGACUGGGACAGUGAACUUGAAGAUGACUUACUUGGAGAAGAUUUGCUGUCUGGCAAAAAGAAUCAGUCGGAUUUGUCAGACGAAGAGCUGAACGAUGAUCUUUUACAGAGUGAUAAUGAAGACGACGAAAAUUUCAGUUCUCAGGGUGUCACAAUUAGUCUGAAAACCACAUCUGGCAUGGUCACAUCAUAUGAACUGGCUGACAACACUAAUGACCAGUCUGGAGAACAGGAAUCCGAGUAUGAGCAAGGAGAGGACGAACUGGUUUACCACAAGUCCGAUGGGUCUGAAUUGUAUGCUCAUGAGUAUCCGGAGGAAGGACAGUAUGAAGGCCAGGAUGCCGAGCUGACAGAAGACCACAUGGAGUAUGUGGAAGAGCCAGAGGAGGAGCAGCUGUACAAUGACGAAGUGUUGGACAUCGAGAUCAAUGAGCCUUUAGAUGAAUUCACAGGGAGUAUGGAGACUUUGGAAAUGCAGAAGGAAAUAAAAGAAGAAUCAGAUGAAGAAGAUGAUGAGGAUGAAGAAUCUGGAAGAUUGCGUUUCAAAACUGAAAGGAAAGAAGGAACAAUUAUUAGGCUCUCAGAUGUAACUCGAGAGAGAAGGAACAUUCCAGAAACUUUGGAGCUUUCAGCAGAAGCCAAAGCUGCGUUGCUUGAGUUCGAAGAAAGAGAACGCCAGCAUAAGCAGGGCCGCUAUGGUUCAAGGCGGGGCGGAAGGAGAGGAGGUCCUUUAAUGUGUCGUGGAAUGGGGGACCAGAGAAGAGAGAACAGUGAGAGGGGCCGCAUGAAGGACCACAGACCUGCGCUGCUCCCCACACAGCCUCCUGUGGUGACGCACUCUCCAAGAUUAAUUCCUCCAACCCAGCCUCAGCCUCCCCCCCCACCGCCACCCCAGCAGCAGCCCAUUCGGAGCCUGUUCCAGCAGCAGCCCCUGCAGCCCCUGCUGCCCCUGCAGCAUCCGCACCACCCCUCUCCUCCACAAGGAAUGCAUGUGCCACCCCAGAUGGAGGCGCCCAGGGUGAUGAUGACCCCUCCACCCGUGACCCCACAGCAGCCCAAGAACAUCCACAUAAACCCCCACUUCAAAGGAGCGGUGGUGACGCCCGUGCAAGUGCCCUUGCUGCCAGUCCCGAGCCAACAGAGACCUGCGGUGGGACCCCAGAGAUUCCCAGGCCCUCCAGAAUUCGCACAGCACACCCCUGGACCGGUUCCCAACAAUUUUAGCCAGCCCCCACGGCUUCCUCUGCAGGACCAGUGGAGAGCACCACCCCCUCCCCAGGAGCGAGACCCCUUCUUCUUAGGAGUUUCAGGUGAACCUCGUUUCCCGAGUCAUCUCUUUCUGGAGCAGCGAAGCCCCCCACCACCGCCACCCCCUCCCACUCUUCUCAGCAGCGCUCACCCUGUGCCCACGCCCAGUCCCUUACCAUUCACUCAGCCCGGACCAGCUUUUAAUCAGCAAGGACAGCAGCCCGUGUUCCCUAGAGAGAGGCCUGUGAGGCCCACCCUGCAGCCUCCAGGUCCCGUGGGCCUGCUGCACUUCAGCCAGCCGGGGUCCGCCGCCACUCGGCCUUUCAUUCCUCCUCGACAGCCCUUCCUGCCGGGCCCCGGACAGCCAUUUCUGCCCGCACACGCACAGCCUAACCUGCAGGGGCCCCUGCACCCCCCGUUGCCCCCUCCCCACCAGCCUCCACCGCAGCCUCAGCAGCAGCCCCCGCUGCAGCCACCUCCGCAGCACCCGCCGCCCCCCCAGCCGCAGCACCAGCCUCCUCACCAGCCGCAGCAGCACCAGCACCACCACCACCUGUCUGUUCCCCCGCCACCUCUGAUGCCCAUGUCGCAGCCCCAGUUCAGGCCUCACAUGCAGACGGCUCAGCCUCAGCAGAACAGCAGUCGGAUGCAGUGCCCCCAGCGCCAGGGGCUGAGGCAUAAUACGACGUCUCAGAAUGUAACCAAACGGCCAAUGCAGCAGCUGCAGCCAACUGCUGCCAGAAACAGUAACUUGCGUGAGUUACCAAUAGCGCCCUCGCACGUCAUGGAACUGAGUAACAGUCGUGGUGCAUCCACGCCUGGCGCUCAUGGAAAGCCGAUGGACAGCAUGUCACCGCCCUUGAGACCUGGGCCUAGGAACACACAGGGGAAGACGGACUUGAAGGCCAAGCCCAUUAGCCCUGAGGGUCAACCUAAGGAAGAAGCAAAAACAGAACCAGAGUUUCCCGAUGAAGAUGAAGAAACGAGGCUGUACCGCUUAAAGAUAGAAGAGCAGAAGCGCCUGCGGGAGGAGAUCCUGAAGCAGAAGGAGAUGCGCCGGCAGCAGCAGGCUGGAGCCAGGAAGAAGGAGCUACUGGAGAGGCUGGCGCAGCAGCAGCAGCAGCAGCAGCAGCAGCAACUCUGCAGCACUGGGGCCCCUGCGGAGCGGGAAGAGCCACCGGCGUUGCCGUUGCCCACCAAUGGAAACCCCUUGCUACCCUUCCCUGGUGCCCAGGGCCGACAGAAUGUGAAAAACAGACUCCUCGUGAAAAACCAAGAUGUUGCUCUUUCAAGUCUUCAGCCGAAGACGUCAAACUUUGUGCCACCUGGUGCUAACAUGCAGUAUUCGGGACAGCCGGUCAAACCACUGAAGCACUUGAGACACAGAGUCUUGCAGACACAGCCCGAGGAUGGGGACGAGCCGCCCCCAGCACAGACCGCCCGAGUGACAGCCCUCCAGGGCCGGCCCCCUGACUCCAAGCCUGGCGCCAAAAGGACUGUCAUGCACCGGGCAAACAGCGGUGGCGGAGAUGGGCCGCAUGUCAGCUCCAAAGUCAGGGUGAUUAAGUUGUCAGGUGGGGGCGGAGAGAGCGAGGGCUGUUUCCACCCGGACGGCCAGCCCCAGCGGCCUGCCCCGCCUCCGGAAGUGAGGCCGCAGCCUGCCCGCAAGGUGACGUUGACCAAGGGGGCCCUUCAGCCGCCCCAGCACCUGCCGGUCGGGACCCACGUGUACUCAGCAGGCCCUCCGGGCAUCAAGAGCAUCCAAGGGCUUCACCCCACCAAGAAGGUCGUCAUGCAUGGCAGAGGCCGGGGAGCAGCAGGGCCAAUGGGCCGCGGGCGCCCGAUGCCAAAUAAGCAGAACCUGCGGGUGGUGGAGUGCAAGCCGCAGCCCUGCGUUGUGUCUGUCGAAGGCCUGUCGUCAUCCACCACUGACGCCCAGCUGAAGAGCCUGCUCAUGUCAGUGGGACCCAUCCAGGUUCUGUCCGAGGGCCUGUCCCCCUGCAGUUGCUUCAGGACACCAGCUAACCAGCCUCAGACAACAUCUCUACCACCCAGACGGAGUCCCCCAGGCAGCCAGGAAGGCAGGGUCACCGCAGAGAACCUGACUCCUGAGGGGACAUGCGUCGGCGAGAACACCUCCACUGCGUCUGGGUCUGACCGGCCAGGAAGGGGUCUGGUGGGUGACGUGAAGAUGUUGGCAUCUCCAGUGAAAGAAGUUUACAGAUGCUUCCCCAGCAACGGAAAGCCAUAGCCAAGUUUAAGGAGCCAGCCCAUGCGUUAGCAUUUCAGCAGAAGUUCCACAGGCACAUGAUAGAUUUGUCCCACAUAAACGUGGCCCUGAUCGUGGAGUGAUUUCUAGCAGGGAGGCCGACCUUACACUGCACACACAGCUGUGGACUUGCUUCAAGGAAGCUGCCGGCACAGGACCUGCCAGCGAGGUCUCGGUCCAGUCUGCUAACUCUUGUCCAGAGCGCCGGGCGGCCCAGCGUUGGUUCCGGGAGAGCUGAACUUGCAGGACGUGGCAGGCUGGAGUUCGGUGUUGAUGGCUUCAAAUUCUGUGGCCACUCCUGAGAACUCCAGUUUUUGUUUUCUUUUGUUUUCAAAGUGCUUACAAUGCAUGUAGACACUGUCCUUCGUAAUUUUACCGUCUGAUCGAUCGCUCACCGUGACUUAGGUUCAGGGAGGAACAUUAGCAGCACAAAUUCUAAGUACUUUCCAUAGCAAAGAAUAUUUGAUAAUGGUUGCACUUAUCUUCAGUGCAGGCUAGACCAGAGGCGUCUUCUCAGAAAGCCCUCUACUGGUUCUUGUAAAAACAGGUGAAAAUGUGGGUGAUUGUGAUUGACAGCUGCCUAUCCCAGAAAGCAGGGUGUGAGGGCGGGUGGGGAAGGGGCAUGGUGCGGCAGAUUCUGCUGCUUCUGCACCAUUUGCAUAUCCCGAGUUCCUGAGGGGACUCCCCACCCGUUUUUAACUUCCAAAUAGGGCGAGGACCAGGUGGUGUAGCUCUGGCCGGGGCCCUCACUGGAGCUCCCUGUCUGAUGGCACAGUGGGCCUGCCGGGCGGAGGGACAGCUUGAAGCUUGAACAGACGUGGUUGGUGUUUUCUCUUUAAAUGCAACCCAGGGGGCAGAUGUCACUGGCUCUGCGGCACGCAGCGCUCCUAGGGAAGCUGGCUGUCAUCGCUUUGAAUGACCUUUUUUAUAAGGCCUCAGAGUGGCGCUGCAUUGCCCUUCCGUAGACCCGAGGGCAAGGCGGCAUAGACCCCAGCACGCCACUCUCCACGGCGUGGCGUGGGGGAGGCUGUCUCACAGGGACCGUGAGACCCAGAGCAAAGUGUGUGUGUCACCCAUGAGUGAGGGUGCGUGGGCUCCUUAAGGUGGGGCCGUGCCCCCAACGACCAACCUUAGGAGAAUUGAUUCUGGGUGAGCGUGGAAAAGUGCCUUACUGCAUUUCUGCUCACGUAGGAGUUCACUAGCAGUGACUCUAACGUGGACCUGACUGAGCGAAUGGCACUGGGGCACACGUAGACUUUUUAGCUGUGGUCAGAGUUAUCCAUAGAAGUGAUAGAAAUAGAAGCAUGUUGCCACGUACUGUCUGGUUAGCCCAGCGGGGACGAGGUUGGGAGCCCGGAGGCCUCCUCUUUGGAGCUGACCCAGGUGUGGGGGCUUGUACCAUCGUGUUUGUACAGUUGAGGUUUUAUUUUACUUUUUCAAACUAAGUGAGCAGAAGUGGAGGGGAGUAGCCAGACCCUGUGGACCUCGUGUAGUGUUGAUUCUCAGAUGGUGUGGUGCUGAGUGAGCCUAGGAAACGAGGGUGCUGCUGAGGGCGCUCCCCGGAGAGGUCAGCUCAGGAAAUCGCAGGCACGCCUAGGGUCCCGGGAGCACUGCCCACUGGGCACCUGGCACCCUGCUCCAGAGAGCCCCUGACUGAGUCAGUGCCUAUGCCCAGCAGCUGCCUGACGCGGGCUCGCUGCCCCCUCUCACAGCUGCAGGUGAGCUCACAUAGAAACCGUAGCGCAGUGCAUUCAAGUGACAAGGUAGCCGGAAGCUCUAGUUACAGACCACUCCCCACUCUGUUGCCAGCGGGAAGGCUCACAGUCGGUGGACUGUCACCGAAGACUUCCUGCCACAACAAGAUGAGUUGAACAGACUUUUGCCGCUUUCUGAAAUAGUCGGAGUGUGCGGUGGCUUGGAGGCCACAGCCCUGCAUGUGGUCUCUGGAGCGUGGGUGUGUAGCGUCCUUCUUUCCGAUCAGUGAUGGCGAGCCCACCUGUCCUGCACCACAGCUGCUGCAGACAGACUCACGGCUGCUUCAGGGCAUGCGAUGACGUGGGUGCCUGGAUGUGUCUGUGCUGUCUGCACACCCGGGCAUGCUUUUUCUCCAUGCCCUGUCCUCCAGGGGGGCGUGGGCCUUUUCCAGAGCCCAGGAGGGCACGCUCCACACGGGGCCGCUGGGUGGGGACUGCAGUGCAGCCGGGCCCCGGGACAAAGCUGAGUUUCCUUGGAGGAAACGGCAGGAAAGGAAAGCAGCAGCAUUAGGAAGUGAUUUCUUCCCAUUGGUGGUGCACUUCUCGCAGGGCACCGAGCUGAGCCCUCUUGGAAGAUCUGUUGCAACCAUUAUCUCUGUUCUUUCUUUAUCAUGCAUUUAAAUGAGACGCAGAUGCAUCCAACACACUGUAAAUACGGACCUUUUAAACUGAAGUGUUAUUGGAGAUGUUUCAAUUCAGCAACACCUUAGCUCUUUGCUAGUUCUUUUGUGUUGUCUCAUCAAAGUUUAAUGGAUGCAGUUCCAUAAUUGUUGACGUGUUCAUGUGUAUAUCCGAUUUUUAUAAAGAUGGGAGUAAGUCAAUACAUUGA